AUUGAACGCUGGCGGCGGGCUUAACACAUGCAAGUCGAACGGACUACUUCGGUAGUUAGUGGCGAACGGGUGAGUAAUGCCUAGGAAUCUGCCGUUUAAUGGGGGAUAACUGACCGAAAGGUCUGCUAAUACCGCAUACGCCCUACGGGGGAAGGCAGGGGAUCUUCGGACCUUGCGUUAAACGAUGAGCCUAGGUCGGAUUAGCUAGUUGGUGAGGUAAAGGCUCACCAAGGCGACGAUCUGUAGCGGGUCUGAGAGGAUGAUCCGCCACACUGGAACUGAGACACGGUCCAGACUCCUACGGGAGGCAGCAGUGGGGAAUAUUGGACAAUGGGGGCAACCCUGAUCCAGCCAUGCCGCGUGUGUGAAGAAGGCCUUUUGGUUGUAAAGCACUUUAAGCGAGGAGGAGGCUUUGUGGGUUAAUACCCUGCAAAGUGGACGUUACUCGCAGAAUAAGCACCGGCUAACUCUGUGCCAGCCGCCGCCGUAA
rnacentral:rRNA from 1 species